rnacentral:misc_RNA from 1 species
AAAAUGUCAUGUUUUCUUGACAGCUUUUCAGUUAGUGAUCUUGUAUAUGACAUGAUUCCUGCUAUUGGGUUCUAUCCUCGUGAACGAAACCCCUUCUGUUAGUUGCUAGCACAGAGCUUUUAAGAGAUCAAUCAAUAGCUAAUUAUGAUCAAAAUUCACAUUCACGUUUGCAUGCUAUGGUAUACACUAAGAAGGCAGAUUUCUACUUGAGCAGUGUUUAAUUUUCUUCUCUUGCUUCUCUAGUGUAGGACGUACUUGGGAUUGAGAAUUGCUUUUCCGAUAGUUGAGUAGGCACGAAUAUAAUUUCAGAGCUUUGCUAUAUGUGGUAAACCUGUGUCUUAUCUUGUUAAUAUUCAUGCUCCCUUGGCCUCAAGGAAAUGACGGCGUUCCUUUGGCCUUUAGGAAAUGAUGGUGUUGGUCACUGCUUGAUGUCUGAUCAUUUUAUGUGAUCGAUUCUGCAGGAUUGAUAGAAAAUUUAGUUCUUAUGAUAAAUUCCAAAGGUAAGUACUUCUCUUUCUUGCAAAUGUUAUUUCUUACACCGUGAGAGGAUACAUUAUUUUGGUAGGAACAUAUACAUCCUACUGUCAAAACAUUUCAGGAGGAAAGAAAGCUCUAUAACGUGCAUUGCCAAUUGCUUUUUGCCCUUUGGAGCGCUUCAUGAAGGGGGGGUUCCAUGUCUACAUAUGUGUUAUUUCAUUAUUUGAGAAUGGAUUCUCUUUGCUCUGUGCUGUUUGAUAAGAGUUCUGCACUGUACUUUGAAAGCUGGUCGUUUGUGGACGGCUGAGCAUAGUUACUCUUUACUGCGGCCUUUGAAUGGUCCAUUCAAAGCGUCGAUGCAAUAGAGUUCAUUGAAGCGACUUAUUCCUGGAAAUAAGAAGGCGUUAAAAUAUUGUCAUUUCUAUUUGGU